AGAACGAACGCUGGCGGCAUGCCUAACACAUGCAAGUCGAACGAGACCUUCGGGUCUAGUGGCGCACGGGUGCGUAACGCGUGGGAAUCUGCCCUUGGGUUCGGGAUAACAGUUGGAAACGACUGCUAAUACCGGAUGAUGUCUUCGGACCAAAGAUUUAUCGCCCAAGGAUGAGCCCGCGUAGGAUUAGCUAGUUGGUGAGGUAAGAGCUCACCAAGGCGACGAUCCUUAGCUGGUCUGAGAGGAUGGAUCAGCCACACUGGGACUGAGACACGGCCCAGACUCCUACGGGAGCAGCAGGUGGGGAAUA
rnacentral:rRNA from 1 species